rnacentral:rRNA from 1 species
CCUACGGGCGGCAGCAGUGAGGAAUAUUGGUCAAUGGACGAGAGUCUGAACCAGCAAAGUAGCGUGAAGGAUGACUGCCCUCUGGGUUGUAAACUUCUUUUAUAUGGGAAUAAAAUGUUCCACGUGUGGGAUUUUGUAUGUACCAUAUGCAUACGGAUCGGCUAACUCCGUGCCAGCAGCCGCGGUAAUACGGAGGAUCCGAGCGUUAUCCGGAUUUAUUGGGUUUAAAGGGAGCGUAGGUGGAUUGUUAAGUCAGUUGUGAAAGUUUGCGGCUCAACCGUAAAAUUGCAGUUGAAACUGGCAGUCUUGAGUACAGGAGAGGUGGGCGGAAUUCGUGGUGUAGCGGUGAAAUGCUUAGAUAUCACGAAGAACUCCGAUGGCGAAGGCAGUUCACUGGACUGCAACUGACACUGAGGCUCGAAAGUGUGGGUAGCAAACAGGAUUAGAUACCCUAGUAGUC